CUUGGUGUUAGGAUAUCAAAUAACUUUACAUGAUUAAAGAAUCUUUUUUGACGACCAUGUAUAUAAGAAUCAUACUUUAUCUUUGAAUGUAUAAUAGAGUUCAUAAGGAAAUCGGCAACCCUGUCCAACUGUUUGAAUCAACAAGCCUUACCUAACUGCAUUUCUUUCAUAACUAGUGAAUUUCUACUAUUAUAGAAGAGCAUGUGGUAUCAACAUGGCUGCUUCAUGUCAAUAAAUUUGAAGUCAAAGGAUAUUUUAGUCAGUUUAAUUAUCAGCUCAUGCUUUACUGAUGUUCUACUCCGUAGCUGUGUAGAGAGUUCUCUCGUUCUUCUGUCUCUCAUUUUCAUCUACAGAAAUUAUGAGGGGAUUACUUGGUUGACUAUGGUUGCCUUCUCAGUAUCUCAGUUAAAUAGAAAUAGGUGACAGUGAAUAUUGUUUGCGAUAAUGGUACCGGAAUGAUGAUUAGUGAAGAAUCAAACAAACUGACCUAUUGGAUGAUCCUUCUGACGAUCCUUCCCAACGUGCCGACUUGAUUCAAGAUGAAGGAAAUACAUAGAUGAGUGUAGAUGAUCUACCCAGGGAUUCUGCAAAGCUAUGUUGCCGAGCUUAACGAGAAACACACUACUUUGAAUGAUCUAUCCUCUGUUACAUUUGUCACUUUUGGUUUUUUUGUCAAAAGCUGCUAAGAAGAAGCUGUGGAAAAAUGCAUCACCAAUUCACAAUCUGUAAAUAGUAUGACCUGUAGAUAGUUCUCCCAUAUAUUAUGUAAAGAAUAUGUACUUCGGCAUUUACCAGUAUGAUGCAGCCAUUGAUGUUAUUCCAAAAUGUGUGAAUAGUAUCCAGUAAUUGGCUAGUAUGAAAUGUUGUCUAACUGAUUUGAUGUCACACCCAUGUCUAUACGAAAUUUUAGAAUUAGGCUACCAACUAAUAGAUGACUCAAAAAAUUGUACGUAGUUUUCUCCUGUUUCUAAUAGAACCUUUUUGUUGUUUUG